rnacentral:rRNA from 1 species
CAGCAGUGGGGAAUAUUGCACAAUGGGCGCAAGCCUGAUGCAGCCAUGCCGCGUGUGUGAAGAAGGCCUUCGGGUUGUAAAGCACUUUCAGUUGUGAGGAAGGUGGUGUCGUUAAUAGCGGCAUCAUUUGACGUUAGCGACAGAAGAAGCACCGGCUAACUCCGUGCCAGCAGCCGCGGUAAUACGGAGGGUGCGAGCGUUAAUCGGAAUUACUGGGCGUAAAGCGCAUGCAGGUGGUUUGUUAAGUCAGAUGUGAAAGCCCGGGGCUCAACCUCGGAACUGCAUUUGAAACUGGCAGACUAGAGUACUGUAGAGGGGGGUAGAAUUUCAGGUGUAGCGGUGAAAUGCGUAGAGAUCUGAAGGAAUACCGGUGGCGAAGGCGGCCCCCUGGACAGAUACUGACACUCAGAUGCGAAAGCGUGGGGAGCAAACAGGAUUAGAUACCCUGGUAGUCCACGCUGUAAACGAUGUCUACUUGGAGGUUGUGGCCUUGAGCCGUGGCUUUCGGAGCUAACGCGUUAAGUAGA